AAAGACUGCGUGAGACAGAGUCCUAGCCUAUCUGUCCGGCCAGUCGAACCUCAUGUGUUCGCUGCUUUCAUUUUCCCUUGGCUGAGGAAACGAUGGUUUGGUUUUGCAAAGGAAUGCUGGGGACUUCUGCCAGCUUGCUAACGGCCUUGCCCCAUUCAGAUGCAUCGAACUCACAGAACAUCGCUCCCCAGCUGCUGGCUCGCGGUUCUGAGAGUGCCUGAAUAGAAAACCACUCAUUUCCCUUCGCAAAAGAGGCGCCCAAAGCAGAUAUUUCAAUAUAUUCCAAUUUAGCCGAGGGAAGCCAGAACAUGGAUGUUGUUGCCAAGGAAACCACCUCCUUCCUCCUGUGUGCUGUGCAUACGUGUAUCACUUCAUCUCUCUGCUCUCCAAGCUUGAAUCUAGAUCUGACGUGGAUAUCCUGCCACAGUUCCGAAGUCUACCUAGUGCCCCAGCCGAACCUGCCCUGGCUCCUAGGUGGGGUAUGGACAUCUGUGACAUCCCUCCCCAACACCCCACCAAGCUGGGCUGCAAGACGGGUUAUGGUGGCCCCAUGACUUCCUUCCUUGGUAAGCCACAGGACUUCCUUGUUAACUGCUUUGCUGU
rnacentral:lncRNA from 1 species